rnacentral:rRNA from 1 species
GUGUGUGAUGGCGGAGGAUGUAUGUGUGAGGUGUGUGUGUGAGGAUUGUGUGUGUGUGUGUGUGUGAUGGAGGAUGUGUGUGUGUGAGAGGUUUGUCGCGUCGGGAUGACGGCCUUCGGGUUGUAAACCUCUUUCAGUACCGACGAAGCGCAAGUGACGGUAGGUACAGAAGAAGCACCGGCCAACUACGUGCCAGCAGCCGCGGUAAUACGUAGGGUGCGAGCGUUGUCCGGAAUUAUUGGGCGUAAAGGGCUCGUAGGCGGUUUGUCGCGUCGGGAGUGAAAACGCCGUGCUUAACACGGCGCUUGCUUUCGAUACGGGCAGACUAGAGGUAUGCAGGGGAGGACGGAAUUCCUGGUGUAGCGGUGAAAUGCGCAGAUAUCAGGAGGAACACCGGGUCGACGCGGCCG